UGAUCUCUUCCGUAGGUGAACCUGCGGAAGGAUCAUUACCGAGUGCGGGCCCUCUGGGUCCAACCUCCCAUCCGUGUCUAUCUGUACCCUGUUGCUUCGGCGUGGCCACGGCCCGCCGGAGACUAACAUUUGAACGCUGUCUGAAGUUUGCAGUCUGAGUUUUUAGUUAAACAAUCGUUAAAACUUUCAACAACGGAUCUCUUGGUUCCGGCAUCGAUGAAGAACGCAGCGAAAUGCGAUAAUUAAUGUGAAUUGCAGAAUUCAGUGAAUCAUCGAGUCUUUGAACGCACAUUGCGCCCCCUGGUAUUCCGGGGGGCAUGCCUGUCCGAGCGUCAUUGCUGCCCUCAAGCACGGCUUGUGUGUUGGGCUUCCGUCCCUGGCAACGGGGACGGGCCCAAAAGGCAGUGGCGGCACCAUGUCUGGUCCUCGAGCGUAUGGGGCUUUGUCACCCGCUCCCGUAGGUCCAGCUGGCAGCUAGCCUCGCAACCAAUCUUUUUAACCAGGUGACCUCGGAUCAGGUAGGGACCCCAAAG
rnacentral:rRNA from 1 species